GUGGGUGUGAGAGAGGAGCGCGCGAGCCUCGCCUCGCGCCGUCCCUCUCCUGAAGGGAGCUCGCCUCCGCAGGCGCCGCCCGCGCGGUCGCCGCCGUCACGCCGGGCUUGGCGCGGGGCCGCGCGUGCCGAGUUGCCGAAGACCGGCGCUGUUGCGUCCGGCCCUCGCGCUGCGGGACGUGACGGGCCUGGGGAGCUGCCGGUCAGCCUCGGUACGUGCCGCCGGGCACCUGCGUGCGCGUGGUCUCGGCUCGGUUGCGGAGGGGUUUGUGUCCCCCUUAGCGCGGGCGACGGCGGGUUCUAGCUGUGAGUACCUGUACCGACUCGCGGUAGGUGGCACUCUUGUAACGUGUCCACAAGAAGAUGUAACAAAACCGUUUCGCUUCCCAAAGCUAUCUCGGCUGUGUGUCUCAGGUAGGCUUUUUUGGGACAGAUGCGCAUCCGCUUGCUGCUGCACAGUAGGACGAGUUCAGAGGUGUUUGUAGUUUUUCCUUGAAGCUUGAGUUAGCUUUUAGAACAGAGCAGCUGAGGAAAACUGUAUUUAAACUUUCCUGUUUUGUCAAGUGCUGUUGCUGCAUCCCAGGUAAAGCGUUUUAUUUUUUCUUGCUUUACAUUUCCGCUGACUCCUGCUGCUGUGCCUGUAGCCGUCCUCUCCCUUGCUUUCCUUCUCCCACUCCGCUUUGUCUAUCCAGCACUGGUUUCUACCCUGGGAGUUGGAAAUGGGUAGCAGGAAAGAAGUAUCCUUCAAAAAGGAGUUCUUAGAGGCGCCUUUUCUGAAUGCUGGAAUGUUCUUUGAAUCAACUUACACUUGAUAAAAUUUUCUUAUAUUGUCAGGAUAAAUACAAUUUUGUCCUCCUGCUAGUUCAUUCAGCUGCAGAGUAAAUGUUUUUUUUGCCCAAGAUCCAUCGUGUUACGAUUUUUUUCUUUGUAUUAUGAACAGAGUAUGUUUCUACAUCUAGAGCUAUUAUUAUAUUUUCUUAUUUCCAACAUGACUGUUCACCUCGUUUUUGCAACUACGAGAUACCCUUUUUAACUCCAGCAUUUGUUCUGGCCACGCGUGCGUAAAUGGGCUGUCAAAGCGGAGGUACAGAGGUGAGGGAGCCCAGCUGUUCUUGGUAGUGGCUGAUGGUAGGAUGAGGGAGAGUGACAUAAGGUUGCAGCAUGGCCAGUUCAGACUAGAUGCUAAGGAAGAAAGUCUUGACUGGGAAGUUGGUGCAGUACUUGGAACAGGUUACCCAGAGAGUUACGGGUCUCACCCUCAGGUGUUUUUAGGUUUCAGGUGGGAAAAGUUAGGGCUGACCUAAUCUAGUGUUGGUGAUAGCUUUCGGAGGGAGUCUGGACAUGAUGGUGUUCAGCUCCUUGAAUGCUGCGAAAUCUUUCUAACUCUGCUAGCUGUGUAAGCAACAGAUGAAACAUUUUCUAAUUUGCAGCAUAUAUGCAGUUCAAAAUACAGGACUGGUGAAGAGAGAUGGGUGGUAGGACCACCAGGCAUAGAUACAUGUCUGAGGUGUUCAGUUUGUUUAAAAAUAGUGAGAAAAAUGCUGUUUUGAGUAUGAGUUUGUUCUAAAUACUAGAAUUUUUGUGUUUCUAAAUAGAAGUCAAAGCUGCAGCUUUGCAGUUUAGAUAUUUUCUUCCUUUGCACUCUGCUCGGAUAUUUGUUUUGAAAGCUAUAAUUUUUCUGGGCAUAUGCAGCCACUGCUUUGUUUCUGUGAUUCACCUUCCAGAUGGUUGUGUUUGAGGUGAAAUAUUAAAGAAUUUAUAACAACGUAAUAUAGUCAGCAUUAAAAGAAAUGUCACUAAAACAGUAAGUAACUUAAGAUGUGCUUUUUAAAAAUUCAAGUUUCACUAUUUCACAGAGGAGUAGAUCAAUAUUCUGUCAUUUAACAGUUGAGUUUAAAAACCUGCUGUGAAAUGAAGCAAUAUAUCUUCUAUUGGAUGUGAGCUACUUUGAUGUUAAUUCCCUGGUUUUGUGUCACUUAGGGGCAAAUAAGCUUUUCAGCUCCAGUCAUGACUCAUUAUGUCAGGCACUUACCGUACCUCCACAGCUAUGCAAUUCAUAUACAACACAAAGUGUGACAGCAUUUUCAGCUACUUUGUUAUACUACUAUUUUCUUGGCUUCUUAAAAUAUAUCUUUUAUAGCUUCAAGCAGAGUGGCAUAGUUUGUGUCUGUAACAUUGAUUGGGUCCUGCUUGGGAACAGUUUUCAUGCUAUUUUAGAAAUGUAAAUAAAGGUACUACUGUUUUAUUUUUCGUUGUUGCUGUGACAGCAUUGAUCCCAGAGAGAAAUGUGAGCUCUAUCAAAUAAAAAGAACCCCAAACACCCAAAACCCCAGAAGACCCCAACCAAACCCUAUUUAGGGAUAAUACAACUUGCAAAGCACCUCCUUCACUUUAAUGAACAAAUAUUAACAACACCUGAGUCCUUUGCAUGGCAUGAAUUUCUACUGUUAACUGGGCUAAAGAUUUCUGUGGAUCAUUUAGAAAACAUUUCCCUCUGGGGAUUCUGGAAUGCAUACCACUGUGAACCUUUCACAGGUGUUAAGUAUGAAGGGAGGACUUCCACAUGUGAUAAGAGCAUUCCAAACUGCGUGUGCCUGCAUUGGGGCUGCUUCUGCAGUUACUGAAUUACUUGUGCAGCCUUUUGUAGUUAUUUUCCCCUUGUCUUCAAUGUUAACUGAGCACAGCUGAGGAUCUUAACCUUCCCCUCCUCCCCACUCCAGCUGUAAAAGUUCCAUAUAAUGGAGGAAAAACAGAUGAGAAGGAAAAGAAUCUGAAAUAUAGUCUGUUGUACAUUUUUCCAGAACUGAACUACACAGAAGGUAUUGAGUGCUUGCUGUUUGACACUGCGAGCCGUGCCCUUUCAACAAAUUAUAUUUCUAUUUAUAGAACCUGUCACUGAAAUAGAGAAUUUUAUAUUUGAUAAUGUAAUUAAUGCUGACAAUUUCCCAGGUGACAAAUAGAUUGCUCAUUAUUCCCAGUCUCUGGGCAUAUGUGGAAUGUAAUCUCUUUGAAUGGCUGGGUAACACACUGUACAAUCAGAAGUGGUUACUGAAUAGGAUGCUUCAUGUCAACUAGGAGAAGUAGCACAGUCACUAGGUUUGUGCCACAGCAGCGGCCUUCUGGAAUCGUGCUCUGUACAAGUAGAGAAAGGCUUGACUUUAAAAUAAUUUGCUCCACAGCAUCAGAACCUGGUUACUGUCUUACAGUUAGUAAUUGUCUAUAAUUUCUUCAUCAAGUCAAGGUACCCUGAGAAUGUGUUCACAUGGGCUCUGGGAUGACAAAUUUGAUUUGAGUAAAUCGGAAGAUGACUCUUCAAAACAAACCUUUGUUCUGUGUUGUAGGUGAAAAUACAACAAAACCCAGCAAUAUACAGUAAAGUACAAAACGCAACUCUGAGUAUAAAGCAUGCCUGGUAGUAAGUCAAGAAAGGUCCUUCCUUCCUUCCUGCUGACCUGGGUUUAAAUUCUAUGUCAAGUGCACACAGGUGUGCCUUGUUAUACACUUCUUGCUUGAGGGGAACGAUUGGCACAGCUUUCCAUGUGAGCUGUCUGUCUUUCCACUGACACAAUUUAGGCAGGUUUUUUUUUUCCUCUCCCGCUCUUUUAAGGGAUCACUGUCUUCAGAAGUUCUGGCUUGGAUUAUAAUAGUAUCUAAUGUAUGCAAAUAAAUUUUCUGGGUUUUUUGUUGGCAUUUAUUUAGCUAAGACAUUUUUGCAACACAGUUCUGUAGAAGUAAUUCACAGCUGCUAUUAAUAAAUCGGUCCAAGCUAAGCCAGACCAAAUCUGUAAAGGUUUUUGUCGUCUUUUACAGAGAAAACGGGUUCAGGGCUGAUGACACCACCUACAGACUGGUUUGCUGCUUUCUCACUUUUACUGAUGGUGAAGAUACGAUGGUGGGUCAUGUUCUUCAGAUUACUGAGGCUGUAGUCAGUGAGUGCUCCUGGGUAUUUGUUACAAAAUAAGGCUUGCCAAUUAGGUUUGUGAGCAACUGAGUUGUCUUGAGUAGCAGGGAGUGUGGCCACAUUUGCUAGCCUGGCAGAUUUGAUGGAGGGCAAAAGACUGUUCUGACUGCCCUCUUUCUUCCUGUCCUUUAUUUGUGUGUUAUGUUAGAGGAUUCUAAUUUCCCUUCCUGCUUUUUGACCUUAUAUAAUGUCACUUUUUUCAGCAAUCAGCUAGGUAAUACAGAACUAAUUAUCCUGAUUUACCUGUCAGACACUUGGUGAGGCAAGUGAAGAAAAGCAGCGGGGAUCAUUUAGAAGGAAAAGGACCAAUUAAAAUAAAUCCUGUGUUUAAACAGGAGGUUAGAAAAAUGCUGGAGGCUACAGCUGAGGCAUUUGAAGAGUGGAGUGUUUGCAAGGUCCAGACUAAAGAAUCUGAACUGUGACUUCUCUGGAAACUGUUUUCCUUUCAUGGCAAAACAGAUAACAUUCUAAAUGCUAAAUGCAGGAACAGAGCUCAGCUUCAGGAGAUAAACUUUUUUUUUUACCUAGACCUCAUGCAGCGUUUUUAAUAGGGUUUUCAUAUUUCUUUCUAGCAACUACAAAUGUCUAAAGUUACACACCUUGCUUUCAUAAUGGAAUCGUCUGGAGGUGAAUUAACUCUUCCUCUGACGUCUAUUGCAAUCCUAAGAUUGCUGCUUCCAUAAGGUUGCAAUACCUCGAUGUUUGCUACAAGUCUUAUAUACUGUUCAGGUUCUGAAAACUGCCAAGAUAGCAGAUCACUAGUUCUUUACGAAGACUAAAAAAGAAGUUCUACAUUAAAGCGGGCGACUGGAGCCCAUCAGGAUCUGAAGAGAAUUUAGUAUGUAACCAUGGAAUUAUCCUAUCAAAGAUGACUUUAGUUCUGCAGCUGGCACCUUCCAGUUCAGUGACAACUCCACACUCCCCGCCCUGCCCUUUUCUUUUUUUCUUAAGAGCUAACACAGUAUUAGUUUCCUCUGAUGGGGCCCACUUAAUAUGCAGUGGAGAAACAGAACUACAAAGAAUAUAAGAUAAGAUACAUAUGUAUGAAUCUUUGCAGUCUUCCUUGAGGAAAGUAGUGUCUGUCCUACAGCCUGAGAAAAAAGGACCACUUGUGGAAUGCUUCCAUUUGGUGGUGGGCCCCAACAGCGCUGCUGUGUGCACCAGGGUCAACGCUCAGUGCGUAGGCACUGGACUGGAGUCCAGGAACACCAGAUUUCACAAAUGUAAAGAUUCCAGACAUCGUCUGCUGUCACAGGUCCCUUGACUUACUGCCUCCUAAAAUCAGGAUCUCAGAGGUUUCACCCCCCACCCUUCCGCUGAACCCUUUCUGAUCCACAGUUGAAUACCUCAAGCACUCCUGUGCCUUCAGGAUAUGGUUGACAGCACUGUACAAGUGUGACUGAGAUCCUGAUAAGCAAGUGAAAUGACAUGGAUGCAUAAGUUUACCAAAAACAGAACUAAGAGAAUUUUGCUGGCGUGACAGAUGGAACAAAAUUUUGGUGAAUAUGGAUUGAGAAUGCUUUGGCACCUAUUACAGGUUUGAUGAUCGCUUUUGUGAUGCUUCUGUUUCAACGAGUCCCCUGAUAACAGUGAUACUGAGGAAAAGUCCCAUUCAGCUUGAGGAAUAGGAAAAUGGGGAUUCUUUCUCGAACACUGAAGUGAGCAAGCACGGGACAGACCCAGGAUCAAAUCACAGUACCUGCUGAUAGCCGGAUGCCCACCCAGGUUAUCAGCAUGAAAACAGGAAAUGAAUGGGACACCAUUAAUAAAACAUGAAGCCUUCGUGUUCAGGCUCUGUGCUCCGCCAUUCAAGUAUAGAAGACACUGUGUGAGAAGGAAACAGAGGAGACAAAUCCAUAAGUUCAUUUACUCUUUUUAACUACACAGCAAACUUUGGCUCAGACUUGGAACUAAACCUUUCUUUUCUUCCCCUGAAUUUAUUUAAAAGCCUUUAAACUCUCAUACCGAAAUCCUGAAGGAUUGUUACUGAGCUGUGAGUAGUUUUUCAGAACAUUAAAGAUUCCCCUAAUAGAUUUCACCAAUAAUUAGAUAUUGCCAAUAUUGCUCUUUUACUCAAAAGCGUCUUUCACUAAGAUGUAAAUUUUUAGAUCUUGUUCUCGCACAUUUGCUUUUGGAGCUGUUUACAUGGUGCAGAUUUUUUUCGCUGUGAUAGAUGCCCUUUUUGUGAAAGUUGCUUAUGCUUGUGAUUUUAGGAAUGUCCCAAGAUAUGUACCUUGCUCUCUUUUGGGGGCUCAUUUUGCCUGUCUCAUAAAAAUGUUGUUUUCCACCAAAGAACACAGGAUUAGCCUCAAAGAAUAGAGAUCUAUAUGAAGUAGACUAAAAGACCCCACCACCAGCAGCACCAACACCUUUUCUGUCUAUUUUAAAACCAUCCCAUGAAAGCUUAUGGUCACAGCAGUAUGCAACCCAAGGAUGAGAACCUGCAAACCUGUUAUGAAAAAGUCAUGGGAACAGAAGUAGAAGACCCGGUUCAGCCAGACAAAGAGGCCUUCUGCAGCUAUAAUAAAGGCUUGUUUUGCUCUAUGGGGGAGUUUAAUUGCAAAAUACUUAGCAUAGGUGAAUCAUAGGGAGCCUAACCAUAGGAAGAGGUUAACCACAGUUAUAGGAAAGAUUCAUCUGAGGCUACAAUAAACAAGUUCUUGGUGGGAAGAAACCAGAAGACUCUCCUCAGCUGUGGACAGGCCCACUCCUGAAACUCAAAGGUUGAGCUGUGAGACCAAAGCAGGAACUCUCCUCCUGACCUUAGAUAGUUCUUUUAGAGAAUAGCCGAGUACAAGGUCAGGUGGGAAGAUAAGGUGUUUAUUGCUAGUGGGAAUUUUUGUCAGGCUGCUGUGGCUGGAACCACCAGUUCAUCUCCUGCGGGAGACAGCGCUUCACAGUAAGGUCUACCACAACUCUAAGUGUAACCCAGGGAUUAUUAGGACUUCCAUAUUUUUGAACAAACUGAUAUAUUCUCACUGUUCAAUAAACGUGGAGGCACUGAUUCCUCCACCCUGUCAGGAGCAAGAGGCUCCAGUGUCAUAGAGAUUUUAGGCCAGGUUCAAAUUCCUUUAAUUAUUUCUGUUUAGUCUCCUUCGAGAGAACCUGUUUGCUGGAUGUGUGUCUUGCUUAAUUCCUGAAAUGCAGAAGCAAAACCUCAAACUGGGUGAGAAACCUGGACAGUGAGACAAUGCACAUUCGGCAAAGUUACAAAUUCAGUGUUACAGUUCAGCUCAAUUAAACAUAAUGUUCUUGGCUGCCAUCUACAAGUUUGAUGAUAGGAAAUUGGAUUUGACUCAUUACAAUACAAAGGGGCAGUUUGGUAAAUGUACAUUUUCAGCCAAAAUCAUUAGUCAACUACAGAGUAGUGUUAUGUUUUCAUUGAUGUUUACGUUACCAUUUGGUUUACUUGUCUUUGCUGUCUGGCUCCGUCCAUAACAAGUGCAGCCAAGCUCUAAUUCUCAACUGUUUGAAGUUAUUCAGUCUCAUGAGAGAUAUGCCAGACAAUUCAUUGGAUAAUAUUCAAAGUAUUAGUGAGGCUAAUUCUAAUUGCACAGAAGGUUCUAUGUUAACAUUUCUAUUUUAACACCUUUUUUUGUUACUUGGCGUUAAGGUCACAUGAAUUGCUUUUCUACAUGAUGUCAUUUCUGUUGUCAGAAUGUCUAAAUAUGAAAUAUUAGAAUUACUUUACCGUCAGUUCAUGUGCCAAAGAACCGAUAUUCUUUUGGUCGUGUCAGAAUGUUUUUGGAAAAAUUCUGAGCCCUCAGAAUGACAAUCUGAAAAAAAAAUGUUGAAACCAUUCUUUUCCCUCAGAAGGAUUUGUCUGAAAAUGCCCAUUUCUAGUGUUCCCACCCAGCUCUAGCCAGUACUUAGACCAUGGGCCACGGCAGCACUUGAAGACAGCCGAGAUGCUCAGGAUAGUCCCUGGGGGUGCUGCGCACAGCGCAGGCGCUGGAACCCGCGAGGCAGCCCUGCUCCGGCACUGGGGCACGCACACGCCAGGGGCUGCGCAGCCCGCAGGCGUCGGGGCUGGGGGGGGGAUGCCCCUGGAACUGGCUCAGGUAGAGCCACAGCGCCAGGCACGGCCUUCCGAGAAAGCCUGAUAAAUGGGCCCGUCCUCCCUGCGGGCCUGCGCACGGGUGCGCGAGUCCCGGUGCCCGCUUACCGCUGACUCUCGCGUGCCUUCCCGGUCUUGCCCUCCGGGGAGAAAUAGCACCUAGGCAAUGAGAGAGAGAGACGAAACGGGAAAUGUUGGAGGCAGAGAAGCGCUGCUCUGAAAAACCUCUUUUGGACAAAUCCUUCCUAUCCAGGAAUCACCUUCUGUUUGCGUUUUGAGGUUAUUGGGAAUAGAAAUUGGGAAAUUCUGUGAACAGUGAAGAGUAACACAGCUGAAACCUUGCUGUUUGGGAUCAGCUGAGUGGGAGUCGCAGCGAACGUGAUCAACUGAGUGGAAGUCUAACUGGAUGUGUUCGUGGAGAGGUGCCUUAAAAUGAUUGUGGGGUUGUGGGGCUAAGCAUGGUUUAUUGAGAGUAACUGAGUAUUCAGUACUGGAGUAGGAACAGGAGUCACUUAGAUUAAAAUACAACAGGACCUGGUGCUGGCUGCAAAUACAUUUUUCCUGGAAAAAGAGAGAGUUAGAAAUAGCCUUCGUUAUCCUUUUAGAGUGUUUUUAUAAAUAACACAUCUGUUCUUUUUGAAAUACUAGUAUGUUAAAUGUCCAAACAGUUCUUGCUGAAAAUGAUGCCUCUGUUAAAUUACCAGUGCCCGCUCAUUUUCCAGGCAGAGGUACAAGGUACCCAGGGCCAUUUGGAAAGCACUAGCAGGUGACUAACCGGCAGGGAAGGCUGGGAAAGACCACUUGGUCCUGCCAAAGGGUCUGAGCCAGGCCCUUUUGCUGCAGUCAUUCAUUGCAACUGCAUCUGAUUUCCUUUUAAGUAUUUCCUCUGACUAAUUUUUUAGCCUCUCCCUGUAGGAGUCUGGGUUAUGCCAGUCUUUUUUUUUUUUGGCCUUUUUUUUUUUUUUUUUUUUUUUUUGCAUCUAGUCUAAAUUUUUCCUUCCCUUGCUCCAGGUCAGUGCUUCUCAUGGUGUCUCCCGCCCCUCCUUCUCAUCCUGCUGCUCAUUCACAUUAACUGCAAGAUAAUUAGAGACUGAUCCUGUCCCCUGAGUCUUUGUUUCUCCAGACUAGGGCUUAAAUGCUACCCUCCUGCAGCAAACCCCACUGAGAUCCUCAGGUUUGGUCCUUUUGGGGCUGCUUUUGCUGUUGUAUCUAGUUCUCAGCACAAAGUUCUUUGAUAUUGUAAUGUUGUAAUGGCAGGAGACCCUGGUUAAGCAAAAACAGAACCGGCCCUCCCUCCCUCCCUCCCUCCCUCUGGGGGUUGGGGGUUAUUAACAGAGCUUUGCUCAGCUGAGCAACAUGGAACCGCCAGGUCUCUGCCCGCAUUCCUGUCUUGCAGCUUCAAAAUUCUCAUACUUCUUAAAAAAGCAGGAACAAGGCAGUUUGUGUGGUGCCAGCAGAUCCUCAUCCUGGCAUGGCUGCUGAUCUUUUGAAGUUAGAGGCUCAGAAAAUCCUGCCGUCCAUCUCUGUUUCCCAAGAGGAACAGGUCUGGGAACCAGAUUCUCUGUGGGGUCAGCUCGCACCCCACUCCUGGCUUGGCAAAGCCAGGUCCAAGGGGCAGGCACUCUCCUGACGCCCGUGCCCAUCAGGGAAUCCUUGCUGUGAGCCCAGCCCCCUGCCUGCUUGCCUGCCAGCCUCCAACCCUGCUCUGCCCUAGGGAGGCUUUUUUGCUUAGUGUUACCUGCUUUCAGUUCAUUGUGCAGCAUUGUAUCAACUGUUUAAUUCUGUCACCUGCAAAAUCAGUGUCUUGAGUGAAGAAGUCUUUUGGACUUGCUUGGUGCAACCUACCUUUAACAAGCCCCUGUUAUACAGUAGUUGUUAGACCUUUUUCCCAGGUGUUUCACACCACUGUGUUGUGUGGAGCUGAUACCAGGUUGAAUGGUUUGCAAUUUCUUGCUUCUCCUUUUCCUGAUCAUCCCGACAAGCAGAAAAAUUGCUUCAUGUGCUCACUGCAAACCUCCCAAAACUCGUGCUGGGCUGUUCCCAGUGCUGGGAAUCCUGCCAGAGCUUCAUCCCCGUCCUGUGCUCAUCUCUUUGGUACGUGGACUGCUCUUCAAGUCACAUCGACAAAAGGCACCAGAUCUGUGACGCUCCUACGCCCUGGAGCGGGGACAGGCAGCAGUAUCGGAGCCAGACAGAGAGUUUGGUGCUUCAGAACCAGGUCUUGUUGGUUUGGGAUCUUUCCACUUGAAGGCUUCUGGCACGUUAAGAGCCCUCCCCUGAGUUUUUCAUCCUCUUUCAAGCUGCUGUAAUAAACCUCUUUUUCAGUUGGCUCGGCUAGUAGUCUGUGGUGGGUCUCGUGGGUUGUGCACACGCGUGCCCUGGGACCCGGACGGAGCGUCACCGAGCUCAUCGCACACGCUGCAGGGCAGCUGCUGGCCCACAGCGCUGCGGGGCUGCGUGACCUGGCAGCGGUGUCGGAGUGACCGAAAGCUUCGUGUCACAUAGGCAACCUGCGGUGCACCCUGCUUUGCUGGAAUUGCGGCUCAGUGCAGCACCGGGCGUUUGUCUCCAGCAAAUCAGGAGGUGCAGCAAGGCUCAGGAGCGCGUUUUACGUUGCGUGCAGCAUAGACUGGGUGCAGUCCAAGGCUUCCACAUCUGCAGCUGUAGCAUAACCAAGGAAGGAAAUCCAGGAGGCUGCAUCUCCCUGAACAACAGCACCACUUACAGCUUGGUCUCAGAUGCCAGCCUGGGGCUGGAGCCACAGAGCAGCAGCCUGCCAGCACCAGGGAGGAGGCUGGCAUCUGCUGUUUUCCGUGUGCCUCAGGAUUAGUCCACAACAGCUGAGCAUGUCCAGAUCCUCCUCGGUGGUAUCUGUGCUGACAAUGGUCUCUGCUGGGUGGCUCUUCCUGCCUGGGGGUGCCUGCGGCGUUCAGCUCAGCCAGGUGCCUCUGCCCUGGACAGAGGCUGAACAGCGGAGCAAUGAUUUGAGCUGCUGCUUAAAAACGUCUCCUUGCACAGCUUCUACCGGCUGCAACAAAGAAGGUGGCUAACCAACAGGAGAAAACAUCAUUGCUGUGUCUUGCUUUGCCAUGGCCUAGGACAGCAGCCUGCCAGACAGUUACCUGGGCAUAAUUUCUGGCAUGAGCUUGAGAUGGCUGGAACUGAGGGUCAGACUUCACCCGUUUCCAGGCAAUCCCGGUAGCAGAAAGUAUCUGAAAAAUCCCACAGACUCACACCCAAUUUUCAAGGCCAGCAUUUCUCCCAGCAUACACAACCCUGCCCAGGAGGCUAGCAGGGUUACAUUAUCUGGAGUUUGAAUCUGGACAUGAGGAGGCAGGUGCUGGAGAAAACAGGCAGGCACAUGAGCAGUCAAAGGCAAGAGCAAGCGUUUCAGGUCUGCACACUCAGCACAUUGCAUCCCAUCCAAGCAGAGCUGGGGAUGUUGAAGAAGUGAGACAGGGAACAGCCAGGGAUGCGUUGCAGGGAUUCUGCCAGACGGAGCACCAGGCGUAAGGCAACGUCGGUGCUCUGUGAGACGGGAAGGGAACCGCUUACGGUGAGAUUCAACGAUCAAGAGUAAAAUUAUAGUGGAAAAAACCCAAAGCAUAUUGGGCUGCAGCUCCUGAGGGCUGUGACGAGAGAUCCUCUGGCCCCUCGAGAUACUUGCACCAUUGCCGGAGAUGCAUGAGUCUCGACAGACGAGCAUGAGGGAAGGUGGUCGUGCCUGGAGCGGGUGUCCGCAGCGGCCACUGCCGGGCCGGGCGCUCGGGGCAGUCCCUCGCAGCGCUGCUUUUGUGAUUGGUGUUGCUCUAACUUACCUGCUUGACAGGACUGUGUAGGGCAGAGCAUGAAGCUGGAGGCCCGCAGUGCCGGGCGUGCCGAUACCAAGAGCUGCCUUGGCUCGUUUAGCGUGACCCUCAGUGGCCGCCAGGAGAGGUGCCCACCCCUCCUGGGGGCCAGUGGCUGCUGGAAAAUGGCUGCUGCCGGCGGGGAAGGCAGAGGGGAUGCAGGCAACGCGGGCGGCUGUGCCAAGGGGGGAGCACCCCGCACCAGACGGGGUGUCCCUGGGGGAUGCCCAGCCGCAGCCAGUGCCUGGAGAGCUGGCGCUGGGCUUAGCACCCUGUGGGCCUUUGCUUGUAUGUGAGCGUUAAUCCUCCAGAUUAACGUUAAUUUCAGCAAAGAGAAAGCUGAUACCAUUUCAAUGGAGGUUUUAAGGGUUGCCCGGCACUGGGAAGGGGCUUAGGCCAGGACUGGGUAAACGUCAGCUGAGCAGCAGUGGGACAGUGCCUGUGCUGGGAAACACUGGGAUCACAAAGCUUUUAAUAGUCUUUCAGUCUCUGCAAGGCCUUAAAAUCAAUCAGAGGAUUAACUAAGCAAAGCUGCUUUAUGAUACAUGAUCCAGCUUUGUGCAAUUGGAUCUAACUUUGCUUAGGCCCUCCUUUGUGACUGGGCUUGCUAAUGUGCCGCCUGCAGCCUAGGAACCUUGCGGCGGGACGGCAGCAGCCUGAGGAGCGGGGGAAGCCCUCCCUGGGGCGGCCUGGAGGAGGGGGGUCCCACCGCUGCGGCCGUCACCCGCUCAGCAGGGAUGCCAGAGAAGCAGCAGCGCGGUGCUGCUCGUGCACGCCAGUCGCUUCCCUCCCACUGGCGUCUUCUCUUUAUUCAGCAUUUCUCCUUGCAGAAGCUCUCCAAAGGUAAGCCACUGACUCCUUCUCACCAGCUUCUGUGAUGCCUUCUUCCAAGGAACAGGUGUAUGUUGCACCUUCCCUUUUCUCUUAAUGGUAGCAGCUCCUGGACGUGGGUGUUCAUGUCGGAGCUGAAGCCUGGGAGCAGAUACACCCUUCUCCAGCCACGUGCACUAGUAAGCCUCGUCCUCAAAGGACCACUUCUGAGAUGUCACCAGGGAGGGACGCGAUGAGUCUCCCUUAAACACACACUCUGGCUCCUGACAGAUCAAUACAUUAAUUUGUUUGAUGACAACAGGAGCAAUCCGCCCAGCCGACACCAGGCAGCAUCUCUGUUUCAAAUGAGGUGUAGGAGUGUGUGUUUAGCUUUUCCCAAAGCAGUUUGCUUUCUCUCAGGCUGAGAGUUACUCCUAGUGACAACGUGUGCAUGAGAGCGCUGUCAGGUCCCUGGCAGGAGCCUGAAUCCCCCCCCAAACACGCUGUGGCUGCGCAGCAUGGGCAGGUCUGGAUGUUUCCGUUGUACCUGCUAAGCACUCAUAGUGCUGAAGUGAUGUGAGGAAUAGUGAAAUAUCCCCUCCAGAACCGAGCAAUCUCUUUUCUGGCAAAACUCUCCUCUGCCCCCUUUUUCCAGAGUCGCUUCUGCAGUCUGGGGCCAGGUCGGCUGGGUCCAGUGAUGGUCGUGAUGCAACAUAACACGAAGUGAUGCCUGGCUGCUGAAUUACCCUGCUCUCCGGUAUCUGCGCUGACUUGCAAGCCUCACAGCUUUAGGCCUGUCAGCCACCAGGAGUUCAUCUAUGCAAAUGUGCUACAAGAAAAUGAGGUCUAUAAAUAAUAGACACCUUGGGCCUGCACGUCGGUACAAGAUUUAGUGUUACAAUUAAGUUCUGCACUGAAUAUAUUUUUGCUUUGAGAAGCGCCCAAACAAUUCUUUGUGAAAGCGCCUUCUGGCUGCCUGUUCAGCAUUCUGAAAAGGACAAACCUUUAGAUCAGCUGGCAAGUCAUAUAAAUAGUGUCUGAAAAGCAAGUGGCGAAUCACUCCCACUGGAAAGGCUGUGGUGUUAUCACAGGAGCCAGCGCGUGGGCUUACUGAACAGUCCCAGGAUGGGGCACAUGCAUGCUGCAGCCCCGAGAGGACAGAGGAGCUGAAUUCCUUGAAUUAUAAUGGAAACCCAGAGGCUCGCAGGCUCUCCCCUCCCCAGUCCACUGCCCUUUCCCGGGGAAGGACAGAUGUGCGCAUCGGCAGACAAACCUGCAUCUGAGCAUUUCCUUGCUGUGACCGCCUCUGCAGACCACCGGAGCGGUACCACCUCUGCGGACUACAGUGAGAGUAAAGCAAGCCGCCUGCGCUGCUGCUAAGAAUUCUCCUGAUGAGGUUCUAGGAAACAUUGACCCAGUUAAGUGGGACUGGGAAGAAAGUGUUCAGAGCAGUAGCAAGAAGAGGUGACACAUCAUUGCACCAUGACUCGAGAGAAAGACCGGAUCCUGAGGGCCCGUUGACUGCAGUGGGAGUUUGUUGGCCCACAGUGCAGCUAAACAACAUACAAGAAAUACAAGCUGUGGCACAGAUCAGAGCUCAGGUGAGACAGUCCUGUAGCCAGUCUGAGAAGAGCUGGGCCCUUGCCAGUGAGCUACUUGCAACACAAGGAACAAAGAGAAAUUUGACUUUGAACUACGCUGUCCUAUAUCCAGAAGACCAGUUGCAUUUUUGUAUGCUGUAUAAAUAAUACACUUCUUUUAUCACCUCGUACCUAUUCCACACCAAAUACCUAAGCAAUCUGCCUGUGAAUAAGAGACCAGCUGCUUAUGCAUUGUAGAGUGUGUGGCAUUAUGGCAUCAGAACCCCUGCAAAGACAUGUCUGUAGCGUGGCAGCAGAUGAUGGCAUUUAACUUGUUCUUGUUAACUUGAUCCACUCCUGCCUUGUCAGCUGCGCGGUCCAGUAUGACACAGGCAGCCUGCAUUCAGUCCUCUGACUUCUUUGAAACACAAAAGCUUAUGAAAAGGAGAUUGAGGGACAGUUCUCUAAGAUUUGCCCGCUUAAAACCAGCCUUGUAGAGCUGUGACUUAGCCCCUGCUUGUGAAGUCUUCUCUUCUAGAAGCAAAAUUGUAAGUGUUGGGAAUGAUCUGAAGUCUGUCGUUUCAGAUGUGAUGAUCACUCUUUGAAAAUCCGAUCAAUUAAAGUUCAGCUUGGAAGGCAAAAGGCUCAGGGUUCUUCUUUAUAGGGAGCAGCAGAAUGAAUGUUUAAGAUAAGAGAGAGGAGCAAGGUUUUGAUGGUGACUACAAUGUAUGGCCACUGGGAGGAUGGACAUUCAGUCCGUUGUCACUGGGACCAGCAGAAAUCGUUCUCUGCAGACAAUGCAUCACCCCAAGGCAGGUGCUGAUGGGGAAGAGGGACGGCGUUCAGAGGGACAGCCCUCCUGGCAGUGGCACUGAGUGUGGCCGUGCUCCAGGCUGGAAGAAGACAUGGAAUUAAUGCCUCCUCCCAUCCAAGUCUGUGGAGAGCUUUUUACUGGCGUCAGUGGCAACAGGAUCAGAGUAGAGUCUUAAGGCUCUUCCCCUGGAGCUUAGAGGAGUUUAAUGGAAUAAAGUCUAAGUUGUAAUUAAUUGGCUUCUGCUUCUCCUGCAGGAAAGAGUUAAUGAAGGCAAAGCUUGUCUGGCCAAGGGGCUGGUGCGGCUCCAGUAGAGCUAUGACUCACAGAUGGAACAUCCUGCCAAAGCACCGAGCAGGCUCCUCAUCCUCAGCUCCUCCUAUCCCAACAGGAAUAGUGCGAACUGGUCCAGCGUCGUGGCUGGAGAGGUUUGUCCCUUACAGCACCUGCUCUUCCCACUCGGUUCAAUACUAUUUGUUUGCACAGGAAAUCACUGCCUGCCAGAUAAGACCUUACACAUCUACCUGUAUUAUGUUGUUUCUAAUUUGCGGACCCCACGGUAAUCCCAUAACAGCUCUCCACAGGACCGACGGAAGGGGGGGUUGACAGAAUAAUUUAAAUGAGUAAGGAAAUGGCCAAAGGGAGGACAGAAACAGAUAGGCUGCUGGGAAGCAACACACAGGGAGAAGUUACUGGGUGAGUUGGUCAAAGAUGAGUCUUGGAACGGACCGGGUUUGGUAUUUUAAUUGUUGUACUUGGCUCAAAACAAGGAGCGCAGAAAUGAAAUUCAUUGGUGGCAUCAUCCUUACAGAACAGCCCUUGCUCAGUGACAUGCUGUCCCAGGCGUGAUCCUCUACCCAAAUUGCUCUCUGCUUCCCUCUCUCCGGAGAGAGUGAGGCCAGCAAAGAGCCCCCAGCAGCGUGGCGUCUCUGCUGCUGAGUUUCAGCCGGUACUGCCAGUCAUUGGUGAUGCGAGAGCACCGCGAGCGGCGCGGCUCCGAGUGCCGGGCGCGGGCGGGGAGAAGCAGAGGUGGGUCGUCUGAAGGCUGGUGCCUGAUUGCUGUUCUCCAGAAGCAUGUGACCACCUGAGAAGUGAAUUCCAUUAAAAAUGGAUGUUUUCCUGUCUUCUGAACUCAUCCUCUGCCUCGGUUAUCUAAACAGGGCCGAUGACAAGUCACAAAAAUUGCAAAAAUUAUGAUAGAGUGACAGUGCAGGCAGAAGAUAGGGAGGGCUUUUGGUCUUGACGAUGAGCUGAAUUAUACCACUUUGAAUCCAGACUAGCAAAGCAUAAAUAUAUGGAUUAGCACCAGUAUAACAGAUCAAAACCUGAGCUGGAGAGUUUAAACAAGGCAUAAUUUGUAGUAACAACAAAAUUACAGGGAUUCACCCCUUCACCUCCCAACCCUCACACCUCAGCCUUGCCACAAAGAAAAUUUCUGCCUCCCUGUUCUUCUACAUCUGUAUAUUUUUCAAAACAUCCUAUUUUGGGUAGCCAGCCUAGGAAGCGUGGCCUGUCAGUAUUGAAGGACAAGCUCUGGAACUGUAUAUCGUUAGAGUAAUCAACGUGGAGUGGGGAGAAUAAAGGAACACACAUGUCCAACACCAAAUCUGUUUCGAAAAUGAAAAAAUGAACCAUCCUCAGUGCAAUUUCCCUUUCUCAGCAAUGGGGCUUGCGGGUUGCUAAUCUCACUGUAAUCACUGCUGGCUGACUCUGAGGGACAAGCACAUGAGAGCUCCUGAGCUUGACCAGCUCCAGGUGUGGUGAUUCCUGAGAGCCUGUUACUCACUGCACUUGGUGAAAUAACGGCUGCUUCUCCUCCAUGUUCGAGUUGAUGUUAGAUUGACAAGAUCAAGUGACGGCACAACCGUAGACACCUUUAUCUGCUGUAUGCAUAAUCUUUCUCGCUGAACCCCCGCCAAACUCAUCCCCAGGUCUUAUCUUCUCUAAACUGAGUAUUUAUUCAUGUGGUUGUUUUAUGUAAACUGCAAAGAGCCUCAUUAAAUGGAAACCUUCACUCCAAAGCUCCAUUAUUAAGGUGGAACAGAGCUCGGAAUGCACAGAGCAAAAUUACCAAUCUUUUGUGUUAUUUUGGGAAGAAAUGCUGAGGGCAUCUGAUGCAGUCCGGUGCUGAGCCCUUCUGUUAGCUCUGACCUCGCUCAGGGAACAAGUCUGGCUUUAAGGGGAAGAGCUUUACUGGCUGUUACACAGGAGAGAGUUCCCUAGGGCUGAGGAGAGCAGACCCCUGCUGAAAGAGAAGCUGAGGGCACGCUGGACCCUGCCCUACCCCAGCACAGCAGAAAAAUCCUGUUUGGCUUCUGGAGAAGCACUGGGCCAGGUGGGAAGGCGGCUUGGGCGCGCAGCUGCGCACCGGCUGUCGCCCCCGUUGUUCCUUGGCCCUGGGCGCCUGCAGCACCUUUGGAGCUGCCUGACAACCCAAGAGCUUCGGGAGAGGAUGAGAUUUUGCAGGCAAAACACCUCAUCACUUGAAUGCUGGCAUUCACUGAAGGUAAAUACCAACAUUUCUGUGAUUCCAUGUUCUUAUUUAUGUUAUAAAUAAGAGUUUGAAAUGAGAGGCACACACACGGUUAAGAACAUACAGGCAGUGAAGACAUUUCUCUGAGGCUGGAAAUUAAUUCUGCAGUAUUUUCCCUUUCUUAGUUUGACUGAUUCCAAUAUAUACUUUACCCAGCCAUCAGAACUGCAAAACUGGUGCUUCACCAGCAAGAGUCGUAGCAUUUUGUUCCUAAACAAUGGACAGUUGCUAAACAGGAUAAAAUUAAAGAAGGUAACAAAUCGGCAUCCAAAAUUUGCAUUUCUUCUGGAGAAUCAGCUUCUCAGGGACAGCUUGUUUUCCACAGUAAAGGACAGCUUUUUUUAAUUCAAACCCUUCGGUGACAUUAACAUGCUUGGUGCAGAUCUAUACCCUGUCAUACUUCUUAUCUCAAGGACAGCACCUCCGACAGCAAAAAGCCGCAUCCAUCACAUGGGAAUAUUAGCAAGUGUCCGGUCAUCUUGAGUGCGAACAACACGCAUGACCCGCUGGCUUCGAGCCAAGUCGGCCGCUUUCUGAAGCUGCUACGUACGUCCCCAAAACAUUAGUACAGGCUAUUUGUUUUGCUAUAGUAGUGGGCACGCAUGAUUAACCAAUAUUGUAGUUGUGAAAAAGGCUAGGAAAGCUGAGCGUGACUCGGUGCAUCGGCACGCUGCGGUAUCACGCACCUGCUCAAAAUCAGGCUGAGCCGCUGGUAGAGCCGUGCGCGUGCACAAACACUGUUGGGGUGGACGGGGGGGUGUGAGGAAGGCGAGUACGUCAUCCCCACUGCCUUCUCUGUGUUAAGCUUAAAGAUUUUGGUGCGUGUCUGUGGAUAUGUGUAUGUGUACAUUUUGCUUCCCUUUGUUUUCUUUGGUACUUUUAAUCCCCUGGGGCAUAUCUCUGAGCUGAAGAACUUUAGAGCUGAUAUAGCUUUUUAAAGUGGGGAUUAUGUAAAUGCAUAUUAUGGGGCUUUCAUAAAUAGGGAUUAUUUGUCGAAUACAUUUGAGUACUUCCUUUGGAGCCAUUAAGGUCUGUUGUGUAAAUAGGAAUUUAGUGACUGCCUAAUCUAGAUUUCAUUGAUUCAAUAAAAGAUCACAACAGAAUUUUUUUGCAUGCAUUUUGGCCUUGUGAGAACAUAUUUCUGGACAGUUUUCAAAUAAUUACAGGA